UACAGAGGUCCCAAGCGUUGUUCGGAAUUACUGGGCGUAAAGGGCUCGUAGGCGGCCCUCUCAGUCGGAUGUGAAAUCCCCAGGCUUAACCUGGGAACGGCAUCCGAUACUGGAGGGCUUGAAUUCGGGAGAGGGAUGCAGAAUUCCAGGUGUAGCGGUGAAAUGCGUAGAUAUUGGGAGGAACACCGGUGGCGAAGGCGGCUACCUGGACCGGUUCUGACGCUGAUGCGCGAAAGCUAGGGGAGCAAACGGG
rnacentral:rRNA from 1 species